rnacentral:tRNA from 1 species
GACCAUGGUAGUUUAAACAAUAAACCUUUAGGUCGUGGCCCUAACAAUAGAAAGCUCCAAACCUUCUCCAUGGCU